GCCUCUUGAAUCACUAUAAGAGGUCCAGCCUGCCCAGUGACCAUGUUCAACGGCCGCGGUAUCCUAACCGUGCGAAGGUAGCGUAAUCACUUGUUCUUUAAAUGUGGACUAGUAUGAAUGGCACCACGAAGGUUAUACUGUCUCCUUUUUCUAAUCAGUGAAACUAAUCUCCCCGUGAAGAAGCGGGGAUAAAUCUAUAAGACGAGAAGACCCUAUGGAGCUUUAAACAACAUAGCACUUGCCAUAUAACAUAAUAAUUCCUGAAUUUUAACUCUAUCGGCAAAAUGACUAUAAGUUUUUGGUUGGGGUGACCGCGGAGCAUAACUUAACCUCCAUGCUGAAAGAAUUUUUCUAAGCUGAGAACUACCAGUCUAAGCAUCAACAUAUUGACAUCCAUUGACCCAAUAUAAUUGAACAACGAACCAAGUUACCCUAGGGAUAACAGCGCAAUCCACUUCAAGAGCUCCUAUCGACAAGUGGGUUUACGACCUCGAUGUUGGAUCAGGGUAUCCCAGUGGUGCAGCCGCUACUAAAGGUUCGUUUGUUCAACGAUUAAAAC
rnacentral:rRNA from 1 species